rnacentral:rRNA from 1 species
AUUGAACGCUGGCGGCAGGCCUAACACAUGCAAGUCGAGCGGAUGAAGGGAGCUUGCUCCUGGAUUCCGCGGCGGACGGGUGAGUGAUGCCUAGGAAUCUGCCUGGUAGUGGGGGAUAACGUCCGGAAACGGGCGCUAAUACCGCAUACGUCCUGAGGGAGAAAGGGGGGGAUCUUCGGACAUCACGCUAUCAGCUGAGCCUAGGUCGGAUUAGCUAGUUGGUGGGGUAAAGGCCUACCAAGGCGACGAUCCGUAACUGGUCUGAGAGGAUGAUCAGCCACACUGGAACUGAGACACGGCCCAGACUCCUACGGGAGGCAGCAGUGGGGAAUCUUGGACAAUGGGCGAAAGCCUGAUCCAGCCAUGCCGCGUGUGUGAAGAAGGUCUUCGGAUUGUAAAGCACUUUAAGUUGGGAGGAAGGGCAGUAAGUUAAUACCUUGCUGUUUUGACGUUACCAACAGAAUAAGCACCGGCUAACUUCGUG